AAAACUCUCGGGCUCAACUCAGAGCUUGCAAGCGAAACUGUGGUGCUUGAGUAUGGGAGAGGUGCGUGGAAUCCCGGUGUAGCCGGUGAAAUGCGUAGAUAUCGGGAGGAACACCUGUGGCGAAAGCGGCGCACUGGACCAUAACUGACGCUGAGGCGCGAAAGCUAGGGGAGCAAACAGGAUUAGAUACCCUGGUAGUCCUAGCCCUAAACUAUGGAUGCUUGGUGUGAUCGGUACCCAAUCCGAUCGUGCCGAAGCUAACGCGAUAAGCAUCCCGCCUGGGGAGUACGGUCGCAAGACUGAAACUCAAAGGAAUUGACGGGGGCCCGCACAAGCGGUGGAGCAUGUGGUUCAAUUCGACGCAACGCGAAGAACCUUACCUGGGCUCGAAAUGUAGGAGACAGGGGUAGAAGUAUCCCUUUCCGCAAGGACUGCUAUAUAGGUGCUGCAUGGCUGUCGUCAGCUCGUGUCGUGAGAUGUUGGGUUAAGUCCCGCAACGAGCGCAACCCUUAUCUUUAGUUGCCAUCAGGUCAAGCUGGGCACUCUAACGAAACCGCGUAGGAUAACUACGAGGAAGGUGGGGAUGACGUCAAGUCCUCAUGGCCUUUAUGUCCAGGGCUACACACGUGCUACAAUGGUCGGUACAAAACGUCGCAAACCCGUGAGGGGGAGCUAAUCGGAAAAAGCCGGCCUCAGUUCGGAUUGGAGUCUGCAAUUCGACUCCAUGAAGCUGGAAUCGCUAGUAAUCGCAGAUCAGAACGCUGCGGUGAAUACGUUCCCGGGCCUUGUACACACCGCCCGUCACAUCACGAAAGUGGACUGCACUAGAAGUCGGCGUGCUAACCGCAAGGAGGCAGCCGCCCAAGGUAUGGUUCAUGAUUGGGGUGAAGUCGUAAC
rnacentral:rRNA from 1 species